CACAAGGUUAUAUCGAACACAGUCAUGGACAAUUUAGUGUCUCCAAUUCACCUCACUUGCAUGUCUUUGGACUGUGGGAGGAAACCGGAGAAAACGGACACAAGUGGUGUAGGAGCUGGAGCAGUCAUGCUGCAAGAAGACGAAAAGGGGAUCAACCAUCCAGUAUGUUAUUAUUCCCGCGCCUCUCUAUCUGCUGAUUAGGAUCCUUACGCAGCGUUUGAAGACACCACCCACAUAGUCCGGUCAUCCUGCUCUAGCAGAACCGUGUCUGCUCCAGGCACUGCCAGUUAUGCUUGCUAGAUGGCACCCAGCCAACCGGUGGCAACACAGAGUUUUGAACCGGUGUGCUAGUGGAAUAUCCCUAUUUAGCCUGUACAAAACAAUGAGGGAUCUUUGGAAGGUCAUAAACAGUGCCAGUGCACUUUGUUUCUACUCUUGUCUCAGUUAUCACCAUGGAGAAGGUCAAAGAGCUUUCAGGACAAAAGAGGCAGACGACAGAUGAGAUCUUAAGGACGUCUGGAAACCAGUUGUGCUCCAGGAUCAUCUCAAGGCUUGGUCGUUUUUUUGGACCUUUCAUGAAGCAGAUUCUGAUCAGAUAACGGCAGGCUACACACCAGGUUUAAAGAUCAGGUGUCCAGCAGCAAUCUCCCUUUUGUCACAAAAUGGCAUCUCUCCACACACUACAACAAACAGUAACACACCCAGACUCCAGACUGUCGCAGGGCAACCAUGAUACUUACCCUCCGUUAUCCACUCAGGUGGGACGUAUAACAUGGUGCCUAAAUAAAAGUGAAAGAAAUGGUUAACACAGCUUUCCUAUGCGAUCGCUUUCAUCUCUGUGUUUCAUAACUUCUUACUUCUGAGGUACAAUUACCUGCAAAACGUCUGUAGGGGGUCGACUUGAGCAGGUCCCCACAGCCAAAGUCUAUAAGUUUGACCUCUAAUCUGUCCAAAUUCACUAGAAUGUUCUCCUCCUUAAUGUCACGAUGAAGAACCCCGCGAUCACGGCAGUGACGAGCCUCUUCUGCGGUAUUCAAAGAGGUCCACGCAGGGGACGGGUCGCUCCAGGAUGUGGAACCACUCUAGAAGCUCCAGGACAUGUUCACAGCGAGGUGGCUCGGACACCAUCAGCAUUAACACCAGGAUGACUGUUCUUCUCACCAGGCUAAUGUUUAAGCAGACAUGGUUAGCAUGGGAUUGGAAAUAAUAGUCAAUGGCAUUUUACA